rnacentral:pre_miRNA from 1 species
AAAAUACUCCCUCCGUUCGGAAUUACUCGUCUAAGAAAUGAAUGUAUCUAGAUGUAUUUUAGUUGUAGAUACAUCCAUUUUUGUGACAAGUAAUUCCGAACGGAGGGAGUACAAG